rnacentral:rRNA from 1 species
UACGUAGGUCGCAAGCGUUGUCCGGAUUUACUGGGCGUAAAGAGCGCGCAGGCGGCUGGUCAAGUCCGAUGUGAAAUCUCCCGGCUCAACUGGGAAACUGCAUCGGAAACUGAUCGGCUUGAAGAUGGGAGAGGGUAGUGGAAUUCCCGGUGUAGUGGUGAAAUGCGUAGAUAUCGGGAGGAACACCAGUGGCGAAGGCGACUACCUGGCUCAUUCUUGACGCUGAGGCGCGAAAGCUAGGGGAGCGAACGGG